GACGAACGCUGGCGGCGUGCUUAACACAUGCAAGUCGAACGGAAAGGCCCUGCUUUUGUGGGGUGCUCGAGUGGCGAACGGGUGAGUAACACGUGAGUAACCUGCCCUUGUCUUUGGGAUAACUUCAGGAAACUGGGGCUAAUACCGGAUAGGAGCUCCUGCUGCAUGGUGGGGGUUGGAAAGUUUCGGCGGUUGGGGAUGGACUCGCGGCUUAUCAGCUUGUUGGUGGGGUAGUGGCUUACCAAGGCUUUGACGGGUAGCCGGCCUGAGAGGGUGACCGGCCACAUUGCGACUGCGGUACGGCGCAGACUCCUACGGGAGGCAGCAGUGGGGAAUAUUGCACAAUGGGCGGAAGCCUGAUGCGGCGACGCCGCGUGCGGGAUGACGGGCUUCUGGUUGUAAACCGCUUUCGACUGUGACGAAGCGUGAGUGACGGUAAUGGAUAAAAAAGCACCGGCUAACUACGUG
rnacentral:rRNA from 1 species